UACCUCCAAAGUUAUUGAUGAAAUUCAUAUGAUGAAAACACAUCAUGCCAUAUUGUUUGUUUUACAAGGUUUUGUGUUUUGAAUUGAGGAUAUUACAGGGUUUAUUUGUAAUAUUACAUAGUGGUAGAUGUAUGGUAGCUUGUAUUUUCUCAGAUUACAGCAUGUAAAGAAUACUGCUGGUAGGAAGAGCUACAAAGUUUUAUUCCAGAUGCUGUAGGUACAAAAGGUCCAGAUACUGCUUGUUACUUAGCAACACAGAGGCUAGCCAACAGGUUACCGGGCCUAUUGCGCCAUCACUACGGCAGUAUUAACACAACAGGUUAACAUGUGCAUCGAUGUAAUAACCUCAUAUCUCUAACUUACUGAGACCAAAAGAGGUCUUCCAGGUUUUUAAAACCAGCACAGAAGGAGUUUCAGUAUACAAGCCUGGUUGAGUAAAGGGGAGGGGGUGGGGCGCUGUUAACCCCAUCCUCGCUGGAAGAGAUUUCCUGAAAUCACAAAUGACCAGCAUGCCCCGUCAUGUCUAGGGACAACACGAAAGACUUGGCUCCUCGUGACUUUUUGCAACGUCGCACAGAGACAAUGGGUGCCUGGACAGGAUCGGACAAUCUGUGACGUCUAAGGUCUGGGUGUAGAGAGUGAGACUGACCUUGGCAGAGGGGAUCUGAACAGAGAUGGAGGAGCUAGGCAGGAGGCCUGCGGCACUGGCAUGGAGAGCCUGGGGGUGCAUAGGCCUCAGGGGGCUCUGAACACCAGAAGAAAAAGACAUUUAGUCAUUUAGCAGACGCUCUUAUCCAGAGCGACUUACAGUAAGUACAGGGACAUUCCCCCCAAGGCAAGUAGGGUGAAGUGCCUUGCCCAAGUACACACCGUCAUUUCUCACGGCCUGGAAUCGAACCGGCAACCUUCUGAUUAAUAGCCCGAUUCCCUAACUGCUCAGCCAUCUGACCCCCCGUAUUAGAAACACACACACGUUGUCAAUGCAGCCUUGGCAUGGAUGUGCUUAUAGAGUCAGUAAACACACACGUAUUGACUCAGUAUGCACAUAGACUUACAGAGUCAGUGAAGCCAGACUGUUGAUUGGCAUGUUCCAACUGCUUCUGUAGAGGGAUCCCUGCACUAGGUAUGAAUCCUGCAGUAAAAGACAAGACAUGUUUGGUUAGGCUGGGUUAAGUGGGCUACAGUUUAGAUUAGGUUAGAUUAAG